rnacentral:tRNA from 1 species
GCCCGGAUGGCGGAAUGGUAGACGCAAGGGACUUAAAAUCCCUCGAACGUUUUGUUCGUGCCGGUUCAAGUCCGGCUCCGGGCACCA